rnacentral:rRNA from 1 species
GUGUCAGCCGCCGCGGUAAUACGUAGGUGGCAAGCGUUAUCCGGAUUUACUGGGUGUAAAGGGCGUGUAGGCGGGACUGCAAGUCAGAUGUGAAAUUCCAGGGCUCAACCCUGGACCUGCAUUUGAAACUGUGGUUCUUGAGUGAUGGAGAGGCAGGCGGAAUUCCCUGUGUAGCGGUGAAAUGCGUAGAUAUAGGGAGGAACACCAGUGGCGAAGGCGGCCUGCUGGACAUUAACUGACGCUGAGGCGCGAAAGCGUGGGGAGCAAACAGGAUUAGAUACCCUGGUAGUCCACGCUGUAAACGAUGGAUACUAGGUGUGGGGGGACUGACCCCUUCCGUGCCGCAGUUAACACAAUAAGUAUCCCACCUGGGGAGUACGAUCGCAAGGUUGAA